rnacentral:rRNA from 1 species
AGUCGAGCGGUAACAUUUCUAGCUUGCUAGAAGAUGACGAGCGGCGGACGGGUGAGUAAUACUUAGGAAUCUACCUAGUAGUGGGGGAUAGCACGGGGAAACUCGUAUUAAUACCGCAUACGACCUACGGGAGAAAGGGGGCAGUUUACUGCUCUCGCUAUUAGAUGAGCCUAAGUCGGAUUAGCUAGAUGGUGGGGUAAAGGCCUACCAUGGCGACGAUCUGUAGCUGGUCUGAGAGGAUGAUCAGCCACACCGGGACUGAGACACGGCCCGGACUCCUACGGGAGGCAGCAGUGGGGAAUAUUGGACAAUGGGGGAAACCCUGAUCCAGCCAUGCCGCGUGUGUGAAGAAGGCCUUUUGGUUGUAAAGCACUUUAAGCAGUGAAGAAGACUCUUCGGUUAAUACCCGGAGACGAUGACAUUAGCUGCAGAAUAAGCACCGGCUAACUCUGUGCCAGCAGCCGCGGUAAUACAGAGGGUGCAAGCGUUAAUCGGAAUUACUGGGCGUAAAGGGAGCGUAGGUGGCUCGAUAAGUCAGAUGUGAAAUCCCCGGGCUCAACCUGGGAACUGCAUCUGAUACUGUUGAGCUAGAGUAGGUGAGAGGGAGGUAGAAUUUCAGGUGUAGCGGUGAAAUGCGUAGAGAUCUGAAGGAAUACCGAUGGCGAAGGCAGCCUCCUGGCAUCAUACUGACACUGAGGCUCGAAAGCGUGGGUAGCAAACAGGAUUAGAUACCCUGGUAGUCCACGCCGUAAACGAUGUCUACUAGUCGUUGGG